AGGGGGAGGGGACGAAGAAGAGCGGUCCUAUGCCCCAUUUUGGUUUUGUGGUUUUGUUACUCUACAGACGGACGUGUAUAUACAGCCGAAACGUUGGCGUGUUGUGGCUGCCAUUUUGAAAUGGCUUAAAGAUUGAUAAGCUCCUUCUUGUGUACUGUCGUUCUCUCUCUCCUCUUUCCACAUGUCUUGUUCCCUCCAUUCCUGGUUGAGGAGAGACUCUUUAUUUUAUAGCUGACUAAUAUGUCAUGUAUCACACACAACCAGGUACUUUCUACUUUUUACACCGACUUGGUGUUGAACAACUUGAAUUGUUGAGUUUGCGUAUGUUGUUGUCCUGUGUGGUUGUUUGCUAGGAGAGCCUGUUUGAUAUUAGACCUGGGUUCAUAUAGUAUUUGACAUUUUAUAAAAUCAUUUCAGUGGUUGUUCCAGCCGGCCUGGUGUGCCAGGUGGGCGGCGUUUGCAGUGCUUAGACUCCUAUUGGUUCAUUAAUCCAGGCAAGAUCAAUCAAGCACAGUUUUAAGUCUUUGAAAUGAUUUCAAGUAGUAUUUGAACCCAGGUCUUGUUUAGAUCUGUUUAUAUGCCGCCAGGGCCGAUCCCAGCCCCCUCUAAACUAAACUGGCCUUCUGCCCCAAGUCCUUAAAACAGAGCAACAACUAGGAGAUAAGCCUAAAGCUGCUGUAGUAGUGUGUGUGUGUGUGUGUGUGUGUGUGUGUGUGUGUGUGUGUGUGUGUGUGUGUGUGUGUGUGUAUUUGCGCGCGUAUAUGUGUGUGCACUCGUCCGUGCAUAUGUGUGUGUGUGUGUGUGUGUGUGUGUGUGUGUGUGUGUGUGUGUGUGUGUGUGUGUGACUAAAGCCUUCUUUGGUGUUAGUAACAAAUGUAACCUCUUUACUACACCAGUACAUUUCAUUUACACCAUCUUUACAUAAACUGCAGUAUCAGCAUUUAUAAGGUUUGAGUUGGACCCUACAAUCAACCAGGAAACCUUCCCACAGAUUAAGUCUAGUCCUGGACUUAAAAGCAUACUCAAUGGAGAAUCCAUAUUGAAAUAGCUUCUUAGUCCUGCACUAUCUUUCAUGUGUCCAGGAAGUUGGUGGAUAGCCUUCUACACAGAGGUUCAACUUUAAGCUCUCCAGUGAGAAUCAACAGGGACACAUCGAGUUUUGACGUUUUGAAUCCAAAGAUAAUUUUUAAUUGUAUUUAUUUUGUCUCUGAAUUGCCCCACCAGCCACAGGGCGGCAGGGUGGACAGACAGACAUGCCAGUUGGUAGGAGAUAGUGUCUAGAUACCACAGGGCGGCAGGGUGGACAGACAGACAUGCCAGUUGGUAGGAGAUAGUGUCUAGAUACCACAGGGCGGCAGGGUGGACAGACAGACAUGCCAGUUGGUAGGAGAUAGUGUCUAGAUACCACAGGGCGGCAGGGUGGACAGACAGACAUGCCAGUUGGUAGGAGAUAGUGUCUAGAUACCACAGGGCGGCAGGGUGGACAGACAGACAUGCCAGUUGGUAGGAGAUAGUGUCUAGAUACCACAGGGCGGAAGGUGGACAGACAGACAUGCCAGUUGGUAGGAGAUAGUGUCUAGAUACCACAGGGCGGCAGGGUGGACAGACAGACAUGCCAGUUGGUAGGAGAUAGUGUCUAGAUACCACAGGGCGGCAGGGUGGACAGACAGACAUGCCAGUUGGUAGGAGAUAGUGUCUAGAUACCACAGGGCGGCAGGGUGGACAGAUAGACAUGCCAGUUGGUAGGAGAUAGUGUCUAGAUACCACAGGGCGGCAGGGUGGACAGACAGACAGGCCAGUUGGUAGGAGAUAGUGUCUAGAUACCACAGGGCGGCAGGGUGGACAGACAGACAGGCCAGUUGAUAGGAGAUAGUGUCUAGAUACCACAGGGCGGCAGGGUGGACAGACAGACAUGCCAGUUGGUAGGAAAUAGAUAGACAGUGCCUAGAUACCUUCUCUAAAGCCAGGAACACAUUUAGGAUGAGUCCCAAAUGGUACACUAUUCUCAUAGGGCCCUGGUCAAAAAGAGUGCACUAUAUUAGGGCCCUGGUCAAAAGGAGUGCACUAUAUUAGGGCCCUGGUCAAAAAGAGUGCACUAUAUUAGGGCCCUGGUCAAAAGGAGUGCACUAUAUUAGGGCCCUGGUCAAAAGGAGUGCACUAUAUUAGGGCCCUGGUCAAAAGGAGUGCACUAUAUUAGGGCCCUGGUCAAAAGGAGUGCACUAUAUUAGGGCCCUGGUCAAAAGGAGUGCACUAUAUUAGGGCCCUGGUCAAAAGGAGUGCACUAUAUUAGGGCCCUGGUCAAAAGGAGUGCACUAUAUUAGGGCCCUGGUCAAAAGGAGUGCACUAUAUUAGGGCCCUGGUCAAAAGGAGUGCACUAUAUUAGGGCCCUGGUCAAAAGGAGUGCACUAUAUUAGGGCCCUGGUCAAAAGGAGUGCACUAUAUUAGGGCCCUGGUCAAAAGGAGUGCACUAUAUUAGGGCCCCGGUCAAAAGGAGUGCACUAUAAACUGAAUAGGCUGACAUUUGGGAUGCAUCGGCCUUUUAAAAGAUGAUGUCAAAUCUGAGGUGGGUCCAUUUGGGAUUUAUCUCACCGGUCGAGGUUUGAAAACGUCUGACCAUCGUAGAUGUUUGGGAAGCACUACUUUGAGACAUGGGUGUUAUUAUCAUUUUAUACAGUUUUAAAGUUGAAAUGUACCUGCAGGAAAUCAACUGUAUAUGUUUCUAAUAUAUGAGAAAGGAACUCAAACUUAAUAGGACUUUUCUAUUGAGAGAAUGAGUCAAUGAUAGAUUAUUAUUAUUAUUAGCUUAUCAGCAUCGUGUAUUCUCACUGAGGACCUAUAAGAAACAGUUUCACCUUUGUCCCGCCCCUUUCUCACUUGUCACACACCUUUUCUCGUAUGAUUGACACUGCAGCUAUCCACUCCCAACACUCCAUCCACAAUGUUAAAGCCCAACACUAAUUAUAAGAGGACUGGGGUCCGUUUAAGAGCGGGCGAUGUUCUGACAAAAUGUUUCUGAUUAGAAAAGAGAUGACAUGAUUCUGUCCCAGAGGCCAGUCUGUUCUACACAAGGUAGAAGUAUUCAUUAGGCCCCGAACGGAGGAACAACAGACUGCAACGGGAAGAGACUACCUGGACUCCAAUAACAAACACUCAUUAGCGUUUUUUCCGUUUUUAAAAACGUUUUCAGUUGCAUGCCCUAAUGAAUACAACCCUGUCAACUAACGUGUCCGUUUGUUCCAUAGAAAUAUAAUGUUCAAAAUCCAUAGAAUAUAAUGGUGCAUUGUCAUGUACGCAAUUUCAAUGCUCCAAUCAAACCUAAAUGUUUGAAUGAAUGUGUUGUUCCAUACCAUGUUACUCAACAGAAGUCAUAUUGCUGUAGAAUGUCAUUUCACCCAUCUGUUGUUGUCUGAAAGCUUCCAUCUUGCUGUAGAAUGUCAUUUCACCCAUCUGUUGUUGUCUGAAAGCUUCUAAUGGGGUUGUUUGGUAACACGUUACGUAAAAGCCAACUGGUAUAAUGCCUUAUAACUUGUUAUAAGCAUGUAUGCACCUUUAUAAAAGUGUUACAGGCACUAUAUGUUCAUUCACUUUCUAUGGGAUGACUGUCACUACUCCACUCCAGAAAUAUAGUACUCCUUCAUCAUGGGUAACACCGACCAGUAUAAUGCCUUCAACUUGCUAUGAGCUUAUAUGAGCAUAUUAUAAAGUUAAUAAUCUAAUUCUA